rnacentral:rRNA from 1 species
UACGUAGGGACCAAGCGUUGUUCGGAUUUACUGGGCGUAAAGGGCGCGUAGGCGGCGUGUUAAGUCAGCUGUGAAAUCUCCGAGCUUAACUCGGAACGGUCAGCUGAUACUGAUGUGCUAGAGUGCAGAAGGGGCAAUCGGAAUUCUUGGUGUAGCGGUGAAAUGCGUAGAUAUCAAGAGGAACACCUGAGGUGAAGACGGGUUGCUGGGCUGACACUGACGCUGAGGCACGAAAGCCAGGGGAGCAAACGGG